UACGAAGGGGGCUAGCGUUGUUCGGAAUUACUGGGCGUAAAGCGUGCGCAGGCGGCUGCUCAAGUCAGGGGUGAAAGCCCAGAGCUCAACUCUGGAAUUGCCUUUGAGACUGAGUGGCUUGAGUACGGGAGAGGUGAGUGGAAUUCCCAGUGUAGAGGUGAAAUUCGUAGAUAUUGGGAAGAACACCGGUGGCGAAGGCGAACUCACUGGCCCGAUACUGACGCUGAGGUGGCGAAAGCGUGGGGAGCAAAC
rnacentral:rRNA from 1 species